UGGUAGACGAGAGAAAGGCGUGCGGGGGCGCGCGGGAGAGGGAAAAAAGGGAGGAGGGGCGUGGGGGAGAAGAAAGAUAGAGUGCGGGACGGAGGAGGGGGAAGGGGGGGGGGGGGUUCCACCCCGCUGGGAACUUAAGCAUAUCAAUAAGCGGAGGAAAAGAAACCAACAGGGAUUACCUCAGUAACGGCGAGUGAAGCGGUAACAGCUCAAAUUUGAAAGCUAGCUCUUUUAGGGUUCGCAUUGUAAUUUGUAGAAGAUGCUUCGGGUGUGGCCCCGGUCUAAGUUCCUUGGAACAGGACGUCAUAGAGGGUGAGAAUCCCGUAUGUGACUGGGUGCUUUCGCUCAUGUGAAGCUCUUUCGACGAGUCGAGUUGUUUGGGAAUGCAGCUCAAAAUGGGUGGUAAAUUUCAUCUAAAGCUAAAUAUUGGCCAGAGACCGAUAGCGCACAAGUAGAGUGAUCGAAAGAUGAAAAGCACUUUGGAAAGAGAGUUAAACAGUACGUGAAAUUGUUGAAAGGGAAGCGCUUGCAACCAGACUUGCGCGCUGAUGAUCAUCCGGGCUUCUGCCCGGUGCACUCGUCUGCGCUCAGGCCAGCAUCGGUUUCGGUGGUGGGAUAAAGGCCUUGGGAAUGUAGCUCCUCUCGGGGAGUGUUAUAGCCCUCGGUGCAAUGCCGCCUACCGGGACCGAGGACCGCGCUUCGGCUAGGAUGCUGGCGUAAUGGUUGUAAGCGACCCGUCUUGAAACACGGACCAAGGAGUCUAACAUCUAUGCGAGUGUUUGGGUGUCAAACCCAUACGCGUAAUGAAAGUGAACGGAGGUGAGAACCCUUAAGGGUGCAUCAUCGACCGAUCCUGAUGUCUUCGGAUGGAUUUGAGUAAGAGCAUAGCUGUUGGGACCCGAAAGAUGGUGAACUAUGCGUGAAUAGGGUGAAGCCAGAGGAAACUCUGGUGGAGGCUCGCAGCGGUUCUGACGUGCAAAUCGAUCGUCAAAUUUGCGUAUAGGGGCGAAAGACUAAUCGAACCAUCUAGUAGCUGGUUCCUGCCGAAGU
rnacentral:rRNA from 1 species